rnacentral:rRNA from 1 species
GAUGAACGCUGGCGGCGUGCCUAAUACAUGCAAGUCGAGCGAACGGACGAGAAGCUUGCUUCUCUGAUGUUAGCGGCGGACGGGUGAGUAACACGUGGAUAACCUACCUAUAAGACUGGGAUAACUUCGGGAAACCGGAGCUAAUACCGGAUAAUAUUUUGAACCGCAUGGUUCAAAAGUGAAAGACGGUCUUGCUGUCACUUAUAGAUGGAUCCGCGCUGCAUUAGCUAGUUGGUAAGGUAACGGCUUACCAAGGCAACGAUGCAUAGCCGACCUGAGAGGGUGAUCGGCCACACUGGAACUGAGACACGGUCCAGACUCCUACGGGAGGCAGCAGUAGGGAAUCUUCCGCAAUGGGCGAAAGCCUGACGGAGCAACGCCGCGUGAGUGAUGAAGGUCUUCGGAUCGUAAAACUCUGUUAUUAGGGAAGAACAUAUGUGUAAGUAACUGUGCACAUCUUGACGGUACCUAAUCAGAAAGCCACGGCUAACUACGUGCCAGCCGCCGCAGUAAGAC